CGAUGAAGGGCGUGCUAAUCUGCGAUAAGCGCCGGUAAGGUGAUAUGAACCGUUAUAACCGGCGAUACCCGAAUGGGGAAACCCAGUGUGAUUCGUCACACUAUCAUUAACUGAAUCCAUAGGUUAAUGAGGCGAACCGGGGGAACUGAAACAUCUAAGUACCCCGAGGAAAAGAAAUCAACCGAGAUUCCCCCAGUAGCGGCGAGCGAACGGGGAGGAGCCCAGAGCCUGAAUCAGCAUGUGUGUUAGUGGAAGCGUCUGGAAAGGCGCGCGAUACAGGGUGACAGCCCCGUACACAAAAGCGCAUAUGCUGUGAGCUCGAUGAGUAGGGCGGGACACGUGGUAUCCUGUCUGAAUAUGGGGGGACCAUCCUCCAAGGCUAAAUACUCCUGACUGACCGAUAGUGAACCAGUACCGUGAGGGAAAGGCGAAAAGAACCCCGGCGAGGGGAGUGAAAAAGAACCUGAAACCGUGUACGUACAAGCAGUGGGAGCCCCACCACUAAGCCAGUGGUGAACUCCACAUACGCAUCCUUUGCUGAGGAGACGGUUAACGGAGCGAAAGCGACGUUCAACCUCAAAAGAAGCAGAGGGGGCUUAGUGGUGGGGUGACUGCGUACCUUUUGUAUAAUGGGUCAGCGACUUAUAUUCUGUAGCAAGGUUAACUGUAUAGGGGAGCCGGAGGGAAACCGAGUCUUAACCGGGCGUUAAGUUGCAGGGUAUAGACCCGAAACCCGGUGAUCUAGCCAUGGGCAGGUUGAAGGUUGGGUAACACUAACUGGAGGACCGAACCGACUAAUGUUGAAAAAUUAGCGGAUGACCUGUGGCUGGGGGUGAAAGGCCAAUCAAACCGGGAGAUAGCUGGUUCUCCCCGAAAGCUAUUUAGGUAGCGCCUCGUGAAUUCAUCUCCGGGGGUAGAGCACUGUUUCGGCUAGGGGGCCAUCCCGGCUUACCAACCCGAUGCAAACUGCGAAUACCGGAGAAUGUUAUCACGGGAGACACACGGCGGGUGCUAAUGUCCGUCGUGAAGAGGGAAACAACCCAGAC
rnacentral:rRNA from 1 species